CAGGGACUGCGGUGUACGAGAUCCCCAUAAAUUUUUGGGCCAAUACCAUUUAAACGGGAAUCCGGAGUUCGACACGGGAUGUCAGGCCCCCCACUGAGGGGAAGACAGGAGCGUGCGAUAGGAAACCCACCUGUGCAAACAGGUCCCAAAAAUUUCCGGGAGCCCGGCACAGGCGGUCCCUCC
rnacentral:other from 1 species